rnacentral:misc_RNA from 1 species
UCGCCCCUCAGUCAGGCGUGCGGAGCCAGUACGCACGGAACUGCUGCCUCUCGGUCCGUCCUAUUUGUGUGUCUCGGUGGCCAGGGCGACGUGCGUGGAGGACCUGUUUGUACACACGUCUGUGCUGGGUGUGACCCAAGUGUCAUGUGAUUUGCCGGCGUGUGGGAUGUUGUGUUCCUAGGGCCACACGGUGGUGUGCUGUAGUGCAGCUUGGUGCAAGCAGGCCCAUGGCCUUCACCGGGGAACAAGCACUGCAGUGACGGGUGUCGCUGCCGCCACUACCUGAGGAGGGAUAAUGCUGAGUGAGAGUAGUAGUGGUGCAGCAAGGGGUGGAGUGUUGGAGUGGCGGGUCUGGACUUAUCAACCGUCAUUGAUUGUGUGUGUGUGAGAGAGAGAGCUUGGUUGGACUUGAUCAAUACCUGGCCAUCACUGAACCUCUUCCUGGGCCUUCUGACAAGGGCAUCAGAUCCCCUCGGUGUGAACACAUUGCCUAUAUAACGCUGGCAAAACAGGAACAAACCCCCACACGCCUCACGGAAGACCUCUACGCCCAUGGUUUGGGUCACAUUGCUCCACUAUGUCCAAAGCCAUUAAUUCCUACAGAAUCAAGAAGAUUGAGAACAUCGGCAGGAUGACUGCACUCACCCAGGAGGAAGUGGCCACCCACACCCGGACUGUGGUGCAGGGUCUAGAGGCUCUUCGCAAUGAACACAAUUCCAUCCUCUCUGGGAUCAGCUCGACCCUUUCUUCAGCCCACCAUCCUCCUGACUCUAAUGUCAUUGCUGAGAAGGCUAGCAUCUUACAGAGAUCUUUAGAUCAGAUAGAAUUGGGACUGUCUGAAGCACAGAUUAUGCUGGCACUGGCAUCACAUCUUCAGACAGUAGAGGCAGAGAAACAGAAGCUGCGAGCUCAGGUGCGAAGAUUGUGUCAGGAGAAUGCCUGGCUGCGAGAUGAAUUGGCCUCCACUCAACAGAAACUGCAGGCAUCAGAGCAACAUGUGGCCCAAUUGGAAGAGGACAAGAAACAUUUGGAGUUUAUGUCAACCAUCAAGAAAUAUGAUGCCGAUGUGCAGCAGGACUCUGAAUCAUCUAUGGAGGAGAAAAAAGAUAAGAGCGAUGACCCAGUGGUGGACCUGUUCCCUGAUGAUGAUGCUGAUGAUCGUGCAGGUUUAAAGAGAAGCGGAGAUUUUGGUUCACAAGCAUCAUUAGCGGCCAUGUCUCCAACACCACCAUCUCAGUUUGCCCAGCAGGUAAAUGCGGGUUAUGAGAUUCCUGCUCGCUUACGUACCCUGCACAACUUGGUGAUCCAGUAUGCCUCUCAGGGCAGAUAUGAGGUUGCUGUGCCUCUUUGUAAACAAGCUUUGGAAGACCUGGAGAAGACCUCCGGGCAUGACCAUCCAGAUGUAGCUACAAUGCUCAAUAUUCUUGCACUGGUCUAUAGAGAUCAGAACAAAUAUAAGGAAGCUGCUAAUCUCCUAAAUGAUGCCUUAGCCAUUCGCGAAAAAACUCUAGGGGAGAAUCAUCCUGCUGUUGCAGCCACUCUAAAUAACUUAGCGGUAUUAUAUGGCAAAAGAGGAAAAUACAAGGAAGCAGAGCCACUUUGCAAACGAGCCCUGGAGAUCCGAGAAAAGGUGCUUGGGCGAGACCACCCAGAUGUGGCCAAGCAGUUGAACAACUUGGCAUUGCUCUGUCAAAACCAGAUCUCCCAGGAGGAACGUAGAGGGGUGCCUAAGGAGGAGCUUCUCGGGAAGUAUGAAGAAGUUGAAAGGUACUACCAACGUGCUUUAGAAAUUUAUGAAACUAAGCUUGGCCCAGAUGAUCCCAAUGUGGCUAAGACGAAGAACAAUUUGGCUUCUGCCUACCUGAAGCAAGGGAAAUAUAAGGAAGCUGAAAUUUUGUAUAAACAAGUCUUAACCAGAGCACAUGAGCGAGAGUUUGGGGCUAUCGACGGAGACAAUAAGCCAAUCUGGCAGGUGGCAGAGGAAAGAGAAGAAAAUAAGAACAAAGUUAAAGAUUCAGCACCCUAUGGGGAGUAUGGAGGCUGGCACAAAGCAGCCAAGGUUGACUCUCCUACUGUCACCACAACUCUUAAGAACCUUGGGGCUCUCUACCGACGUCAGGGCAAAUAUGAAGCUGCUGAAACACUGGAGGAUUGCGCCAUUCGGUCACGUAAAGAGCCCCCCAACUUCCCCUCCCCCAUGGGUUCCACCUCUUCACAAAGAUCGCAGGACGACCCACGCCACACCGAAUGAAGCGGGCAAGUUCUCUGUCCGUUCUUAGUGGACAAGGAGAAAGUAAAGAGUGUCUACAGGUCCCUCUUGCUCUGCGUGGUCGAGCAGUCAGCUCUGAGCACAUAUCCUGACCAGCUGUUUCUGCUUCACCUUGAUCAAUCAGUCCUUCGCCUCAUCACUACCAUAGACUGCAAGACUGACCCCACAAUGAUAAUUUUGUAGACUUUAUUUCACAAGUAAUGAUUCAAAUCUUGAUGUACGUGUUGAUGUCUUGUAAUAUUUAGACGUCUGGUUGUGGAAAAUUCAUAACCUGGUAAAUGAGUCAUAUUUAAGUUUAGAUUUCUGAUCCUGAUUACAUGUAAGUAUGUGAAAAUUCAUACUAACUUUAUUUGUAACAGAAAGGAUGGUAAAUGCAAGACAUGACAUUGGUGAUUGAGAGCGAGAAAGCAUGUGUGCCUCAAGAAUCUAAUCAGGUUGAAAAUAUUGACUUCAUGAAUUACCUCAUUACUUAUAUUAAUUUCUAUUUCAUUUUAUCUUAGCAACUAUGCAACUUUGCCCACAUGCUCCUGACAUUGACAACAAAAACAAAUUUAAUACAGUACUAUAUCAUGUAUGUAUAGUGUGUGUGUGUGUGUGUGUGUAAGUGUGUUUACACAUACCUGUGGAUAUUUGUGCAUUUAUUUAUUCAUUUAGUUUAGCUAAUUGUAAUUUACAGGGCCUGAGGUACACUCAUAUCAUCCCCUAUCCAUAUUUACAUUUAUCCAUUCCUUUCAACUGGUACACUAGUUUUUUUUUUUUUUUUUUUUUUUUUUUGUGUGUGUGUGUGUGUGUGUGUGUGUGUGUGUGUGUGUGUGUGUGUGUGUGUGUAUUUCUAUACUUCUGAGUACAGAUACUUCAGUGAUAGAACUUGAUUCACUUUACAUAUAUAUUUGAUUUUUAUUUAUUGUAUAUAUAAGGAUUUUGUUCUAAUGUACAUACUCACAUUGGCAAAAGAAAAGUGAACAUUGUGCACUGCUGAUACACUUGAGGAACCACAUGUGACUAGAAGCGUGAAGAAAAACAAAGAAUCUAUAAUAACUAAUUCAUUAUUAAUCCAGUAUUGUUGUAUUAUCAUUUACAUGCCUGAAUUUUAUUUAUAUAUAUUUUUCAGAAGAAAAUUGAAAAGUAAAAGCUAAUAUUUGCUUCUCUAGAUUUAGAGAAAUUCAUAUUUUAUUUAUCAUUAGAAUGCUUUAUAUCAUUCAUUAGAAUGCUUUAUAUCAUUAGAGCACUUCAUAGCACAUUGAUACACCUGUGAUGACUAUAAAAUGUAAAGGGUAACAAAAUUUACUUAACCAGCACAAAAGAACUCAUUUGAUUUAUUGCAUUUAGACAAUGUAAGCUAAGAUGAAAAGUAUCCUUACAAUAUGGAUAUUUCAUCACCUUCAGUGAACAGAAAAUAUAAGAAAUAGGCAUAUGAAAAAUAUAUGAGCAAUAACAGUGAUGUAACAUAUCUUUGUUCUUCAUUACUCACACUAAGAAUAAACACCAUCAAUUUUGCCAAAAUUUCUAUAUUCCAACGUCAUUGGUCACUAGAAAGAAAUUGGUACAUUUUUAAAUGACAUACUGGCUCUCAAUUACUAAUCUUUUUCCUCCACAUUAUUUUUUGUUACAUUCAAUUCAAUAGUAAAGUCUUUUAUUUGAAUAAUCCACCCUUAAGCUGCUGAAUAGCAAAUAGUGUGUGCCUAUGUGGCUGUGGAACUAUAUAUCCACAAAUCUAUCAUCCUAGCCAUCUAGGGCUUCUUUCUGUGCAUCUUUGCAAAGCAGUAUGUUUGGUCCAGGCUCAUUGCAAGUGUAGGGAACAAGUAAUCAGAGGAUGAGACAGAUGAGCUUUAAGCAGUGGCUGUAGAGAUUCUGUAUUUUCUCUUUCUCACUCACACAUUCUUAAAUCACUGACUGGUAAGAUCAAUAUACCACAUGUUAACAUUGAACCAAGCCUUACUUGAAAUAAAUGUAAGAAAGGCAGUGAGCAUCAGAAUGAUUUGAAGGGUACAGUUUUCCUCUCAUAUAUGCAUUUAAAUUGUGGUCCAAAUAUUACAUUCCAGACUGGUAUCAUAUGCAUUUAUUGCAAGUAAUGAUAAUACAUAUAUAAACAGUUUUAGUUUCUCCUUUUUCUAUUCAAGACUUGCAAAUUUAUUGUUACUAAUGGUUGGCAUUUUCAAACAUGCAUGCAUAUUAACAAGUGUGCUACUAACGUAAUUGCUCAAGACAGAUAAACUGAUUGAAGCGACUAAAAUGGGCAUUCCUUCACCUCUUGUGGUUCAGUAUUCUACAAAAUAAAUGGAAAAUUUGAUUUCAUGGCACAGAUAGAAUGUAAGUACUGUGAAAGCUUAGAAGCUUGUCUGGAAGUAACCUAUCUGUUUUUCUGGAAAAAAUAAGAUAUGUGUGACAUUUCACCAGUAAGUACUUAUAUGUUGUUUAAUUUCAUAUUCAUCACACACACACACACACACACACACACACACACACACACACACACACACACACACACACACACACACACACACACACACACACACACAACACAGCAGAGUCAAUCAUGCAGUACAUGGGGAGUGGGACUGGGUGAACUGGAGAAAUGAUCUUGUGGGAGCGAAGCAUGGCACAGCUUUAAUAUUAACCCUACCAGCUUGUGAAAUUUUACUCAAAGAACCACACUUAUAACAUCUAUGAAACUAGUUACUAUUUAAUGACGCAUACAGCUUUAUUAGUUAAUUAUGUGAAUUGUAAUGUCCACUAAUUCCCAUUCUCUAGUCAAUGUUGCCAGAGGUUGUUGAGGUAGCUCAGCGUGAAGAGUGGACCCCUCAGCAUAGCUUGAUAGUCAUUCAUGGAAUAGUUGAUUUGUCUUAUUCAAUACCUCCUUGGCUCCUGGUAGUAAACUUACUCUUCCAUGUUGCACCAUUGUUUUGAAUUAAUGUAAAGGUUAAUUUCAUCUGUUACAUUUUAGUUAAUAGCAGAACAUGAUCACUAAAGAGCAUUGUUGUGAUGCUUGAAGAACCAAACAAACUGAAAAAAGAAAAAAGUCUCCAAAUGCUGCUGUGUGUGCACAGACAUUUAGGAUCUGAGAUUCUGACCACCUCUGACAACUUGACAGCCCAACAUCCAAUUAGUGGAUGUUCUAAUUGAUUACUGUAUGAAUGUUCACAAGUUGUUUUGCUUCAUGUAUGCUUUUGUCAGUGUAUUCACAGUGACACGGCAACCAUAUAGGAAAAAUAUCAAUAAACAAAGUGAAGA